AUUAGAGAGCCACACUGACUAGCAGGAACCACAAGAUGCAACAUCACAGGUGGUUUGCUGGAUGCAGUACUAUUUGUCAUAUAGCUGCUAAUAUCUUCUUCCAGUUUUUCAAUGAUCAUAGAGAAUGCUUUAAAGAUGGUGUUUGUAGGUCCCGCAAGAGUGAUAAUUCGUUCAGGGAAAUUACCUUCUGAGAUGUUUAUCCGCGCCCCACUCUCCUCACGCAUCUUUUUCACAGAUUCUCCUUUCUUUCCAAUUAUACUUCCAACCUCCUUGCCAUACAUGAGCAGCCUGAUUGUCAACGUAACGUUUAAUCCUCCUUCAAUAACACCAGUGUCCAUGGUGAGAAGAGUUCUUGCAGGUCAAGGUAAUACGUAGAAGAUGUACAAAGUAGUCAGAUCUUUGGUCACAGGAUAAGACGAGACUGCCAAGUUACAAAGGACGAC